GCAGUGGUGGUUCAGUGGUAGAAUUCUUGUCUCCCAUGUGAGAGACCUGAGUUUGAUUCUCAGCCAGUGCA
rnacentral:tRNA from 1 species